AACGUAGGUGGCAAGCGUUAUCCGGAUUUACUGGGCGUAAAGCGUGUGCAGACGGGGCUUCAAGUGGUGUAUGAAAUCGCUCGGCUCAACCGGGCGCGGGUAUGCCAGACUGGAGUGCUAGAGGGUGCGAGAGGGACGUGGAAUUCCGGGUGUAGUGGUGAAAUGCGUAGAGAUCCCGGAGGAACCCCUGAGGCGAAGGCGGCGUCCUGGCGCACACCUGACGUUCAGACACGGACAGCAUGGGGAGCGAACGG
rnacentral:rRNA from 1 species